rnacentral:rRNA from 1 species
GACGAACGCUGGCGGCGUGCUUAACACAUGCAAGUCGAACGAAAAUACCAAGCUUGCUUGGUUGAUUAGUGGCGAACGGGUGAGUAACACGUGAGUAACCUGCCCCUUACUUUCCUGGAUAACUGCUCGAAAGGGUAGCUAAUACGGGAUAUUCUGACCAGCCUGCAUGGGUUGGUUUGGAAAGGUUGUUUUUCUGGUAAGGGAUGGGCUCGCGGCCUAUCAGCUUGUUGGUGGGGUGAUGGCCUACCAAGGCUUUGACGGGUAGCCGGCCUGAGAGGGUGGACGGUCACACUGGGACUGAGAUACGGCCCAGACACCUACGGGAGGCAGCAGUGGGGAAUAUUGCACAAUGGGCGCAAGCCUGAUGCAGCGACGCCGCGUGAGGGAUGAAGGCCUUCGGGUUGUAAACCUCUUUCGUCAGGGAACAAGGCACUGCUUUUUUGGUGGUGUUGAGGGUACCUGGAUAAGAAGCGCCGGCUAACUACGUG